UAGGGAAUAUUGGUCAAUGGAUGGAAGUCUGAACCAGCCAUGCCGCGUGCAGGAAGACGGCCUUCUGGGUUGUAAACUGCUUUUGCCAGGGGCUAAAAAGCUCAUGCGUGAGAAAUUGAAAGUACCUGGUGAAUAAGCCACGGCUAACUACGUGCCAGCAGCCGCGGUAAUACGUAGGUGGCAAGCGUUGUCCGGAUUUAUUGGGUUUAAAGGGUGCGUAGGCGGCUUUGUAAGUCAGUGGUGAAAUAUGGCAGCUCAACUGUCAGGGUGCCAUUGAUACUGCGGAGCUUGAGUACAGAUGAGGUAGGCGGAAUUGACGGUGUAGCGGUGAAAUGCUUAGAUAUCGUCAAGAACACCGAUAGCGAAGGCAGCUUACUAGGCUGUAACUGACGCUGAGGCACGAAAGUGUGGGGGAUCAAACAGGAUUAGAUACCCUGGUAGUCCACACUGUAAACGUUGAUGACUCGCUGUUGGCG
rnacentral:rRNA from 1 species